rnacentral:lncRNA from 1 species
GUCAAACUUCGGAAAUUGUCAUCACAAUUAUACAUUUGAGCAGUUUGUGUUGUCUGUUUUUUGUUUUUUUUUCCGUCUUGAUGAUGACGAAGAAAUUUUUCUUUGACGUUCUACAUAAGAUUGAAUGCAAUUCACAGAAAUUUGUUAUUAAGAGGCUAAUAUGAUUUCAAUGUUUAGAGGACAUGCAAUGCCAUUUUACGAUACAAAUGAUCCAGGACUGGAUCAUUUUCUUCAAAUUUGAACAUUUGGUAAGUCAUUCAAUAUUGACAAAAACUGAGUAAGAUAAUUGAUUAAUAUUGUAACCAUUCUUUGCUAUACAACAUUGUUUGGGAAGUUGUGAUAAUGGUAGGAAAGAUGGUUCUAGGCAAGGUAUAUCUAUUGUAUAUUGUAUAUGUAAUUUUUCCUCGAGGAGAUUUUGUCGCAUGACAUCUUCGUCGCUUUUUAUGUUUUUCUAUUAU